rnacentral:lncRNA from 1 species
AGCGCAGCACGUGUCGACAUCAAGAACCAAUCAUAACAUGACACAUGUCAAUGUGACAAAGCUACAAGUUUUUCUAUAAAUAGGGGCCAUUCCCCCACAAUAUUGGCUAAUGCCAUUUGUGUUAAAUCAUUCACAAGAACUCACUAAAUUGAGAGCUUGAUCCUUUGUACUUGUGUAAGCCCUUCACUACUAAUAAGAACUCCUCUACUCCGUGGACGUAGCCAAUCUGGGUGAACCACGUACAUCCUGUGUUUGCUUCUCUGUCUCUAUUCAUUUACGUACUUAUCCUCACUAGUGACCGAAGCAACCAAGCGAAGGUCACAAAACCUGACACUUUCUGUUGUACCAAAGUCUUCGCUGAUUUUGUGCAUCAACAGGAUUUUUUCUCAAACAAAAAAUCUUGAUGCAAUUAGAAAUGGGAACAAUUUGAUAUAAGUUGUAAUUUGUUUUGUGAGAUGAUUGAUGUAAAAUUUUUUACUUUAUUCAACACCAAACACUUAUCUUUAUUUCUCACAAUCUUAUUAAAUAAGUCAAAUAAAAAACAACAAUCAAAAGAAAAUAACGUUUAAACAAGAAUGUGUAAGAAUAGAAAAAAAGAUGUUUGGUUAUGAUUUUCCUUUCAAAAGUGAACAGUCCACCCACCAAGUUUAAUUAUUUCCCACUAUUCGUUGCUCACUCACGUUCACUUGAAUUAUGUGUAAGAAUAGAAAAAAGAUGUUUGGUUAUGAUUUUCCUUUCAAGACUGAAAGCAGUCCACCCACCAAGUUUAAUUAUUUUUCACCACCCACCAAGUUUAAUUAUUUUUCAUGGAGUAGGAUUUUCUCCCUUUAUUUUUUAAUCCUCUUUCAUUCCUUUCUCUUACCUUCUUCAUUUUAUCUUUAUAUUUUUAUAAAAAAAUUAAUAUAAGAUAUUAACAUGAUUUAAGUUUGAAUUAAUCCUACUCCAUUUACCACUAUCCGCCGCUCACUCACUUUCACUUGAAUUAUUUUGUUUAUGUGGUGUAGAAAGAAUGAAAAGAGAAAAAUACCCCCAAAAGAACCAAACUUUCAGAACUGUCUGUAUCCCAAAUGAGUCUUUGGUAUUGCUCUGCCAUUGCCAUUGGCAUUCCCUUCCACCAUUGACAUUGACGACAAACCCUUCAACUCCUCCAUACUCGCGUAGCUCUUCCUCGCCGUGAUCCCUCCGCUAUUGUUGUACCUCUCCUCCCCCGCGCUCACCGACUUACUCCCUAUCGAAUUCGACAAUAUCCCGUACGCUGCUUUCGCCAGACUCUUUGUCGGCAUGGUCAUCUCCUGCAUCAACGGAAACCUUGACGGCGGCUUGCGGUUCUCUUUUCGUAACACGGCUGAGAAAUUGGGCACCGAUUGAGCGAGAACGGAAUACCCUUUUCGCGAAUUGGUCAGAUGGGUCUUAAAUUUGACUUGUUUCUUCAAUGGGGUCAAUUUCGAUUCGGAUUCUUCGAGCUCCUCUAGGAUCAUGUACUUCCUCCUUAGCCGCGAUUCUCUGAGUUCCGCGUAGGCUUUGUAUCUAGGUCCUUUCUCCAUGGCGGCUCUCGGUGGUGAACCUCAAUGAACUGGAUGUUGAUAUGGGCUAGGGUUCUGGGAGGGACGUAGAACCCAGAUGGGUUGUAGGGAGUGGGUCCCAUAUUUAAUUUUUUAAUAUUUAAGGAGGUGUAUUCAAUUGGGAUUUUUAGAGAUUUUAAUUCUUUUAAUAAAUCUAGAGGUGUUCAAUCAAGAUUUUAAGUGAUUCUCUGAAAUUCAAGGUGUAUUCAAUUAGAAUUUUAAGAUAGUUUAUUAAAAUCCUUAGAAAUCCGGGUGCAUUCAAUUAGGGUUUUAAAGAAAUUUAUAACAUUCCAGUUGUAUUCAAUUAAAAAUUGAUUUUAAAGAAUUUGGGAAAGUUGGGGAAUUAGAAGGAAUUGAAGAGAUUUUGUAGUGUAUUUUAAGCAUCUACAAAUCUCACAUUUUUCCCUUAAGAUUUCGAGGAAAUUGAAUCAAAAUUUUAUAUGAAAUCUCCACAAAUCAAUUAAACUCCAUAAAAAUCCAUAAAUUUAUAAAUCCAUUAAAAUCUCUCAUAUUCUCAAUUGAAUACACCCCCUUAAUUAAUUUUUGAGUAAAGUACAAAAAACUACCUCAACUAUUGGUGUCAUGACACUUUCAUACCUCAACUUUUAAAAUUGACAAUGGCAUACCUCAUCUUACGAAUUUGUGCCAAUGUUAUACCUUUCGUUACCUUGGCGUGAAUUUCUCAGUUAACUGCUGACGUGGCUUGAUCCUUGACCCAUUUUCUAUUAAAAAAUUAUUAAAAACAAAAAAAAAUUAUUUAAUAUUUUUUAAAAUAUUAAAAUAAUAAAAAAGUUAUAAAUAAAUAAAAAUAAAAAAACAACUUUCAGUCCCCUUUCCGAUGUCCCUCCCCCCCCCCCCAACUUCUCUCUCUUCUCCCCAUCUUCAUCUUCUUCACCAUUCCUGCAAACCAAAAAAAAAAAAAAGAGAAAAAAAAAACUAAUUUGUCUUCCCCCCUCCCUACCCCCUUUUCUCCCCACACCCACUCUCCGCACCCAACCUCCCCACCUGGGGGAUGGACGAACUGGGUUUAUUUUAUUUUAUUUUUAUUUAUUUUUUCUUUUCUCCUUCUUCCUCUUCUCAUUCUCUUCUUCUUCUUCGGGUUGGGUUUGUGGUGAGCAGGGGUGAACUGGGUUGGGUUGAUUUUUUUUUUUUCCUUCUUCUUCUUCUUCGUCCUUCUUCUUCGUCCGUCUUCUUUCUGGGUUGCAGGGACGAAUAGUUUUUUUAUUUUUUUUUAUCCUUCUUCUUCUUUCUGGGUUGCAGGAAGAUGGGAGGGGGAGGGACGAACAUAGGGUUUUUUUUUCCUCUUCUUCCUCCUCCUUCUUUCUGGAUUGCAGGAAGAUGGGGAGAGGAGGGACCAACAAAGGUUUUUUUCUUUUUCUUUUUCUUCUUCUUCUUCCUCAUUCUUCUUCUUUUUGGGUUGCAGGAAGAUGUGGAGGGGGAGGGACGAGAGGUUUUUUUUAAAAUUUUUUUUAUAUAUACUUAUCUUUAUUAUUUUAAUAUUUAAAUAAUAUUAAAUAAUUUUUUUUUAGUUUUUAAUCGUUUUUAAUCAUUUUUAAUGAUUUUUUAAUAGAAAGUGGGUUCUGAAUUAAGCCACAUCAGCAUUUAACUGAAAAGUUAACGGCCAAGUAACGGAAGGUAUAACAUUGGACCAAAUUCUAAAAAUGAGGUAUGACAUUGUCAAUUUUAAAAGAUAAGGUAUGAAAGUGUCAUGACACCAAUAAUUAAGAUAGUUUUUUGUACUUUACCCUUAAUUUUUUUAAUCUAGUUGGGAUAAAGAGUGGGCCCUCUUUAAAGAAAUUGAUAGAAAAAUUAACAGAAGUCUAACAUUGUAACAAAUUCAUAAAAUAAGAUACAAUAUUGUAAAUUUUAAAAUAUAAGAUAUAAGAUUGUGGUUCGAUCUAUAAUUAAAGUAAUUUUAUGUAAUUUAUCCUAAAAAAUCCAAGAAAACCCAACCGGCAAGAAACAUAAAGCGACGGAAGAAUACGACCGAGUCAUCGCCACAGCCCACAGGAGCUAAUAAUCAAGAGGAAAUAGACAAAAAGAGAGGGGCAAUGGUUGGACAGGGGAGCCAUACCUGGACUUUUCUAUUGACUGGGGCAUGGAUUCACAUGUUACACAUUUUAAGAGGGAUUAGAAGGACUCAGAUCAUCUCCAAACGAAAUAUCAAAUUUUAAAUAUAAAAUUUAAAUUUGACGGUUUAUGUGUCAUUUUGAUAUUUUUCAAAAUUUUGCUCUUCAUCCGAUAUGUCAAAUUAAAUAUUAUUUUAUUACACUUUUUUUUAGCUUUUUUUUUAUUAAACUAUUAUUUUAUUACCCAUUUCGACAUCUUUCAAAACCCGAAUUUCUUCAUUUCACACCUUCAGCCAUGGAAGCUCUGCAAGCUUCCCUCCCGCAAGUCCCUCACACCCAGUUCGAACUACCUUCAGCCAUGGAAGCUCUGCAAGCUUCCCUCCUGCAAGCUUUCUGCUUUUCUUCUCUCUGUUCUCUCUCUGGUUUUCCAAAAUUCAAGCUUCGGUCUUUCUGGCUUCUUCGUUUGCUUUCAGUUUCAGCGUUUCCAAUAAAAAAAUUAAUAAAAAAAAUAUUUGAAGCUGCUAUCAAAUUUGACAGCAACCUCUUUGUUGCCAAUCCAUGUCAGCGCCACAUAGAAAUUGACAUUUCUGUUGGAGAAUACUAGUGUAGCCAUUUAUUACUGUUAUAACUUAUGUGGACAUUUUGACAUCUCCUUUAGAGAUACUCUCAUGUUGACAGAAAUUGAUGUCGGACUGUCGUUUAAGAGUUAAAGGAAUAUUACUAGACCUAAUUGGCGUUAAAAUUCUUAUUAAAAGCCGAAGUUUUCCUUAAAAUGUACUUGAAAGUGCUUUAUUAAGAAGCUUCUCCAAAAAGCACUUAUAUGAAUAAAAAACUUUUCUAACUUUUUCUACUGGGCUGGUUUGGUAUUGUUGUGUUUUGAAAAAAAAACUGCUUCUGCUGUUUUGUGAGAAUAAGCAGCUGUGAAAUAAAGCUGUAGAGUGUUUGAUAAACUUUUUUGUAAAAAUGCUUUUGAAAAAAAAAAAACAGUAUUGUAGUGUUUGGUAAACUUUUAUGUAAAACAGUUGUGAUUGUGUAAAAUGAUUAAAACUGGUAUAAUACUAGAUGUGCCAUUAAUUUAAUUUUCUUAACAAAUAAAGGUGAAUUACUAAAUAUGCUUUAUUUUUAAAAGAAAAAUAUUUAUAAACUUUAUCUUAAACAUAUAAUCCAACGUUUAACAAGAAAUCAUAAUCCAAUGUUCAACAUAUAAUCCAACAUUUAUGCUGUUUCACGUUUUCAACUUUUUUUUUUCACCCAAAACUAUGAAAAUAAGCUAUUUUUAAGUGUUUAUCAAACACCUUUUUAAGUUCAGUUUUUUUUAUACCCACUUUUUAUAAAAACACCUCAGUACCAAACCAGUACGUAGUUAGAAGUGUUUUGGCUUUUAGAAGAGUACCUGCUUAGAGCAACUCCAGCGUGCUCUUUAGCCCGAUUGACCGGUGAUUCCAAUCACCCAAUUGCCCCAGCAACUAGCUCCAGCGCAUGCGGGCAAUGAAGCUCAGGGGAGGCCCGGUGGACAGGCCAAGCAGGAAUCCAUCGCCCGAGAGCCUGAUGGCUGUGUGAUGUGUGGCUAACCUCAAGGUGACCCGGCUCGAAUUGGUCUAUUUUCCUUUGUUGGAAUCUGGAAAAAGAAUGGGAUGCAUCCAGGGAAUUAAGCCAUCGAAUUAAACCACAAGAAUUGCAGCACAACAUGAUUUAAAGCUCAAGAACACAAGAUAGUGAUAGAAACAUCACCUGGGUUCGAGAUUGAGAGCUCAAGCUCUCGGCUUCAAUGGUAGGACCUCGCACCAUGCACCGAUGCCGCAUGCAAGGCCAUGGUUGGGUUCCUUGCGUUCCAGGGAUUCUAAAAAUAUUGUUUUUGAGCUUGAUUUGUUAAAGGUUUGAAGAGGAAGGAGGAAGAGAGCUCACGAUAGUGAGCUAGAAAAGAGGGAGAGAGAAAGAAAAAGGAAGAGAGAGAAAGAAAAGAGAGAGAGAGAGGGAGAGAGAGGAAGAACCGGUCAAAUGAGGGGAAAAUGAGAAAGGGUGAUGGGGUGUAUGGAUUGGGUGUGGAAAAAAUAUUAAUAUUUUAUUGCCUAUUGUCAUAGCUGUUCAAUUUAGGGGUGGAUAUGCAAAAUACGGUUAAUGUUCAUUAAAGGUAGUUAUUGUUCACCGGGUGGAUUCAAUAGUGAGUUGUCCUAGGGGACCUUUGCAACGCUGGAGUUGCUCUUAAGGAAUAGCAUUAUGAAAACUCAAGGCCUCGGAUUUAUCAUUUGGCUAGCUAGCAGAACAGGAUCAAAAGGACCCAAAGAAGACCAACGGAGGCACAGGAAAGGGCACUUGAGAAUCAUGCCCAACCUACGCACUCCUGACCCAACCAUAUACAUGAUGUCAAAGGAACACACUGUAUCGAGUCACUUGAAUAUUUUAAAAACCAGGUAGAAGACAGUACCUGGAAGAGGAACUUUGAGGCUCAAAUCCACACACACACACAACUCUCAUUUCAUGAGCUACAGAAAAAAAGUCCCGUCGUUUCAGCUGCUAAGUCCAUACCCAAAUAUGUGCUCAUUUGCAAGAUCACCGUUCUCAGCACAUCAAGCUCAACAUGUUUGGGAAUGUGAGGUCAUGAUCGAUCGAAACUCGCUUCCCGUAACUUAACUGGAUCAUUUGCCAAUUCCCUGAAUCAAAGACAUAACUAAACUCAUCAAUCUGCAAAUAAAAUUUAUCUACAUGAGAACUUCGAUUAUCGAUUAAGUACAACAAAGGAACGUGUGCCUAUACCUCCGAAAAACCAGAAAUGUUCUCUUGCAUUCAAGAAUCCUAGCAGAUACCAAAUAUAAAUUUGAGAAACAACAAUAAAAAUGUUAACUACUGACUAAAGCUAUAGCUAGUAUAGGUUCUUGUUCAUCUUAGUGUAUAUUAGGUAAAUAUUUGACUAUAAAAACAUGUAUUUACCACAACAAAAAUAGACAGCUUUGUAUAUUUGAAUUCACCAUUUGUCAACCCGUCAUUUCACGAUAAGGGUUUCUAAUCACCCAUCCUUUUGCAACAUUUGUUUAUGAAGGGGCUUGCCUUAUAAUUUCAUAGAAAUCCAAUAUGUACGAAAAAAAAAAUAUGUACAUUGAACAAAGACGGAUUAAUGUAAAGGAUGAUUUACAACUCAUUGUGAAAAAUAGUAGUUCUAAUCUAUACAUUAACUAAGCAUCCUUAUCAGUAACAAAAAUGACUUAGAAGUUUGAAAUUGGACAUAGCUUGAAAGACAAAAUGCUUAACUAGCCUUAAAAAGCUCUAACCCAUGAUGACAUCUCCGAGCGAGACAAAGCUUGGAAUAUGGACACAUGCAUGAUUGAGGUCAAUGGAAGCUUGAAUGGCAUUCCAUCAACCUUGACACAUAGAGAGCCAAAUUUUCAAGGAAUAUAAUUCUGUCAGUUAAAAUCACAUAAGAAGAAGAUUUUUCCUUCCACUGUAAAUUUCACCACUCGAUGAAUAUGAUAAUCAAACAGUCGAUAAUUUCAAGCUCUUUGGUCCAAGACUCCUUAACACCAUAUUCCUUCAUCACCCUAACAUCUACAAUUUAUAAUGUGUAGGAACAAUUAGAGAGAGAACCUCUCAAGACUCCAAUUCCCAGAGCCAAUAGUCAAAACCAUUACCUCCGCUCACCAAAUUCUCCAUCAAAUGCUUUGUUUGGAUUGCUAAACCGAACAACUUUAAAGACACCACUGAUGGGACUAAACCCAACCCACAAACAGAAGGACCAAUUUCUUCAUUUUAAGUAGGUGUUGGAACUUGGAAGAGUUGAAUAUCAGAGUGCGCAACGAACAAGACUAACAAGAAUAAAAAUAUUAUUAAACAAACGAGAAUGCCAAAACGGCUACAAAACCCUAAGAUGCUACAUUGUGACUAACUUGAUUAUUCUAUAGAGUUACAAAGUACCAUAUAUAUAGAAAACUAAUCUAACCCUAAUAGGCAAGGAAACGAAACCCUAAUACUAACGGGCUAAGCCCAAAAUACCAAACAUUAAAAUAAAUCUAAAUAAUAAUAUUUUCCAACACCCCCGUCAAACUCAUGGCGGUACACGACAUGGGUUUGCCAAAGUAGAUGUGGAUGCAAGACUCCAAAUUCCAAUGCCAAUGCCAAUGCCGAUGCCGAUGCCAAUACCGAUGCCGAUGCCAAUACCAAUGCCAAUCCGAAUACCAAUAUCAAUACCAAUAUCCAUGCCAAUACCAAUACCAAUACCAAUACCAAUAUCAAUACUUCUUUCUUGCCCGUGUGGGCACAAAGUCAAAACCUCAAAAAACAAAGCAUUUUCUUCUAUUUCCCUUUUGUCUUUUUCCUCCUCCUUUUCCUGUUUCGUUUUUCCUUUUUUUUUUUUUUUUUUUUUUUUUUUACAGUCUUCUCCGCAAAGAACCUGCAAAACACAAGAGUGCAACGAUGCAGAGUGCAGGAACAUGAAGGGUGCAGAUGCUCCAGAUGCAGUUUAGACUACCAACAACUAAUAUUGAAAUCCAAAAACAAACAAACUGAUACGAGCAAACAGAAGCAGAUUAAAUCCCGAAGGAUCAAACCUGCUCUAAUACCAAGUUGAAUAUCAGAGUGCGCAACGAACAAGACUAACAAGAAUAAGAAUAUUAUUAAACAAACGAGAAUGCCGAAACGGCUACAAAACCCUAAGAUGCUACAUUGUGACUAACUUGAUUAUUCUAUAGAGUUACAAAGUAUCAUAUAUAUAGAAAACUAACCUAACCCUAAUAGGCAAGGAAACGAAACCCUAAUACUAACGGGCUAAGCCCAAAAUACCAAACAUUAAAAUAAAUCUAAAUAAUAAUAUUUUCCAACAGGAAGUGCCAAAGAUUCACCAGUAAAUGGGAUUAGAUAAACAAAAAAUGGCCGAAGUUAGGUCUACCAUCGUAUAGGCACAAGAAGCCAUUGCAAGAACCCACAAUUUCGACUGCGAACCCGUACUCAAUACUGGAGUCUCUAGAAAGCCUCACGACAUCGCUGUGUUGGGUUAGAGUGCUCGUCGAGGCCAACCACGAAGUGACCUAUCGACUUGGCACAAGGGGCGUUGAAGCAAUGGAGCAAAAUGCAAGCCGGUGCUUGUGAAAAUAGGGACAUGGUGAAGUGGCGGUCUGAGAGCCAGUGGACACUCGUCUGCAUUGGGUGAGCGUCUUGGUUGAGAUCUCUAUUAUUGUGUGGCUGGAAAUUGCGGAAUGUACAAUGUGGGGUUUCUUCUCAUGUUUCUUUAUCUUCUUCUUUUGAAGGUUUGUUAGGGAAAUUUGCAAAAUUAACCAAAUUUUAGACCCUAUAUAUUGAAUUAUUGCCACCGUUUUAAGUUAAGGAUCAUUAUAACCAAAAUUUUACAUGAAAUUACUAACAUACGCUUAAAAUGAGUUUUCCCAUAUAACCAAAAUGAAAAAAAUUUAAAAUUCAAGCUCAAGAAAUGUUCAUUCAGAUUGAAUAUGCCAUGUUGGUCGAAUCUAGCCAGAAAACUGUCGUUCUCCGGUCACAUAGCAGGGAAUUCGAAACCCAUAUAGUCAAUCCUUGCCAAAGUUGUUUAUUUGAGAAAAAAAAGAAGAGGAAUUUAGCUCCAAAAGCAAAGCAAAUCAACGAGCUUUAUAGGAUCACACAAGCAAUCAUGGAUAGCAUCGUUGACACUAUCAACUCCGCAACCAUCGUCAUCUCAACCGAAGCUAGUGCCCAGCCCACCACCGUCUUUGUAACUCUCUCUCUCUCUCUCUCUCUCUCUAGUGCAUACAAAUCUUUAUGCAUGUGUGCUUUUUUUUUUCUCUUCUCAUUUGCACCAGAAAAGUAGAAUUGCUGCAUUUGUAGAAGCUUGAGAAAGGCUUAUCAUCCCUUGACGCAGUGCAUUAGGGACUGAAAUGUGAACAAACAAGUAAAAGCAGGAAAACUAUCAAAUAAAAAAUCCACAUAACACAAAUUGAGAGAAGAGAUAUCAACUAAUAUGACUUUAGGGUCCUUGUUAUACUCUGUUUGGUUGCUGAGAAACUCUGGGAAUCUAAAACACACAUAUAUGGACAGUUGGAUUUUGCGUUCUUACUCGUAUUUUCAAUCCUAAGAAUGAAAACUAUCAACGUUUGAGUGUUUUUGUAGGAUUUUUUUUUUGGUUGUGAUAAGAAAACUCAUUUUAAGAGUAUACAAAUACUUUCAUAUCAACUUUUAAUUAUAAUUAUCAUAAACUUAAAAGGGUGACUAUAAUUCUAUAUAGAGUCUCAACUGUUGCUUAUGGUUUCAAUUGUUGUCGUGUAGAUAGGGGGGAGAGUUCAAUUUCCUAUUUUUUGAAUUUUCACAGAUACCGUUUUCAUUAACUCACGAGUCUUUUUUAACCCAGUUUCACACUAAACCCUUUCUGAUGAAUUCAUUUUCAACCGUUCAAAUUUAAUCCUAUGGUCUACAUCCCAUCUGCACACACUGUCCGCAAAGCUCCGUUUGCACCUUAGAAAUCGCCCUCUUUAUAAACUGGCCUGGCCUACACGGCACAACCCAAUUCCAGGCCAAAAUUGCAUAAACCCAACUCCUUUUAAUUGUUUUCAGAAGAGUGGUAGUUUUGUAAUUAAAUGGAAAUAAAUGGAAACGUAGCCAAUUUGACAGUGCUUAUGAACAAUGCCAAACUCCCCUCAAUUUUAAACUAUAGUAAUAAUUCCUAGUAUUGGUGAAUCAUAUGAUGGUGGUCAGGAGAAGACUGAAAGUCUUCUCGGCCCUUGGAAGAGAGGAUUGUCGUGGUGAAACCACCAGUUAGUCCAUUUUUUAAAUAAAAUAAAAUAAAAUUUUGGAAUCAAACUUCAUUCAUUUUCCAAGUAGUCCUAAACUACUGAAAAAUUGGCAAAUGUACCAUUUUCCGUUGAGAUGUAGAUUUUACCCCUUUUAGAUCUACUCCAACCCUUAGAGUAAAAUUCAAAUUUUAGGUUCUAAACCUACCCCAAUUUGCUCCAACCCAUAGGGUAAAUAUGAGUUGUAACCCAUAACUCAUUUCUGGGGCAAAUUUAGGCCAGGAUUCCCUUUGGGUUAGUAGGGUUGACCCACCAAAUAUAUGUAUUUUUUUUUAGUUUUAUUUAUAAAUUCAUUAAAUCUAACCGUUAAGAUCUAAUAUGAUCAAAUCUAAUUGUAAAAAAAAAAAAAAAGAUUUAACUCUCCAAAUUUAGACCCAACGGCUAAAAUAAUUAAAAACAAUUGUUUUUUCAUAUUCUUUCAUAGUGUCUGAUGAGUUUCAUGGUGUCAGUUUAGUAAUUUUUCAAUAUUUGUCGGAAUCUAAAUAUUUUUAGGUUAAAAUGUUCAUAAAAUUAAAUUAGGAUAGUCUACAAAUAUAUAUAUAUAUAUAUAUAUAUUUAAAGUUACUUUAAGAAUCCUAAAUUCAUUUUUUAAUAAUCUCGGACUAAAAAUUUAACCCAUAAGAGUUAGAGCAGAAAACAUAUUUCUAGGUUAAACCCUAAAUUUUUUGGGUUAAAAAUUUAAACACGUCGGUUCUUGCACUAAUGCUAGCUAGAAACAGCGCAUUAGCUACGUAGUCCUUGGACAACAUCUUAUUUCAUAGAAAUAUUUCAUAUUCAUGACAAUACCUAUGUGUUAAAAUUAAUAGGGUUUAUUUGUCCUAUUGUAUAAAGGGAAUUUUGUCCUUUCAAGUACCUAUAUUUUUAGGCUAAUAUGUAAAGAGGCUGUUGACUUAUUUGAUGCAUGGUUAAUUUAUUUGAUACAUUUAAAAAAUAAAAUAAUUUUUUAUUCAAAUGAUUUUUUGUCAAGAUAAUAUUUAAAGAAAGAUUAAGAAAUUGAACGGUUCUAAUUAUAAAUUUUCUAUGGUAAAAAUACGUAUUUGCAAGUAGUCAUGAAUAGCUCAUCCCCGAAGAGGGGAAUGCAAGAGUAUUAUUCUUUAUUUAUUUCAUUGAAAUUAUUACAAAUUCAUGACAAUACUAAGCGUCAAAAUUCAUAAAGUUUAUUUCUCCUUUAGUAUGAUAUAAAGGGAUAUUACAUAAUAUCCUUUCUAGUUCUAUUUUUAGGGUGAUGGACAGAAUGUAAUAACGUAGUUUGGUCCACCGCUGCAUGUAAAGGUGCUGUUGACAUCAUCAUAAGCGUAGCUAUAAGCCUGAGGGCACUGGUCCUCAAAGAUCUUAGAGUAGUCUGUGGGUGGACAUGUAGCUGGUGUGUCAUUAGGAGGAGUGCAGCAGUAUUGUGGUUGAUUAAAUUGUGUACACGCACUCUUGCAUGCAAUUACGCUCCCAUCGGACCCCUUCACUUGCAGCUCAGCUGGGCAAACAGCGUUGACGUUGGCGGGGCAAGAAGAGGUCUGGCAGUCGCCCGUGCCGCCUUGUGGGGCAACAGACACGGGCAAGUUGAAGCCAUCAACAAGACUUACGUCGUAGAAAUCUUGGCCUCCGUUUGCGACAAUAUUUAUUUCGACUAGGCUUGCUGGUGGAACUGCUCCGUUACCGUUGCAUGUGACUUGGCCAGAGCUACACUCUGCUGUGGCACAACUGAACUUUCCUGAGGCGUCAGUGGAGCAUCCGGUUCGGCCCCAGAAGCGGCCUUUCCAUGGGACUGGAGUGGUCAAGGAACUGCUAGCGCCGGAUGCUAACUCGAACCCUGUGGAGGAUAGUUGUGGUUGUUGAUCGGAGGUUAGGGACCCUGGCCAUACGGUAUAGGGGCAACUGUUGGUGAAGGUGAUCGUAGCUGCAUGUGCACCUACAUGCCAAUUGUAAACGAAUAAUCAUAUAACCAUUAUGUUAACAAAAAAAUAUCUCUAUAUCUCUAUAUAUGUGUCUAUGAUGAUGUUACCAACUAUGGAUCAAUUUGAACACAAAUUAAUAACGUUCAAACAAAACAAAAAUCAUCAGUUUAAAAUUUCAUGUCUAACAGUUUAACGAUCGAUAUAACAUUUUUCAUGAAUCAUGACACGUACCAGAUCACAUACAAAUAACCGUAAACAAAAAGAACAGAACAAGUCAAUUUGUUUACCUGCGAAGAAGAUGGCUAAGGUGAGACUGAGGAUUACUUGGUUGUUCAUCAUGAUUAAGCAAUCACUUCUUCAAUUUGCUGCCAAAUUAAUUUGGUGAUGAAAUGAUGAAGUUGGGAACCGAUGGGCCUUUGGUUUUAUAGGCAUAAGCGCAUACCUAACUUUAGACUUUUUUAUUUUUGCAUGUCUGCUACAUGAGGAUCCACGUUACCACUAAUAAGUGAUGAGACGACUUGUCUUAAUUAUGGCUUUAUUAGGCGUAUUUGGUCCCUGGACUGACCCCUAGCAAGCUAUUUCCUCAUUCAACCCAAGACAUUUCUCCGCAAAAAUGCCAAACAGGAGUUAAGUGGGACAAUUUGAGUUUACAGGGUAAAAUGAGAAUGAACUUGAGUUUCAGGAAGCGUCAGGAUAAAGCUUAUUUCUUAUAAAAAAAUAUAAGGAUUAAGUACCUAGAACUCCUCAAUCUUUUAGUGUCAUUUCAAAGUAGUCCCAACCUUUUUAAAUAUUCCAAACAAGUAACUAGUCUAUUGAAAAUUUCAGAUCUGUUAAGCAUCAGUUAAAUUUAUGUUAAAUUAACUACAACUUACAUUAGGUUCAUUUUCGAUCCAAUUCAAUACCUGUUAAAUCAUUGGGUUCCAUAUGUUUGAAAUUUAGAUUUUGAAGUAAAUAGUAUUAGUGUUGAUCAUGAUAUGCUCUGUUGGUGGGUUUGAAUAUAAACGCAGGAAUGGAGUUUCAAUGGUUGUAGGUUGAGCUUGAAGGUGAUAUUUGGGAAUUUUCGAUUACGUGAAUAAAGGUAAUACGCCUUCUAAAAACAAAGAAAACAACAAGCUAAAUAAUUUACAGUAACGAUGUGAUUCUCGGUUAUUGAAACUGUAAAACAACCGAUGUCGGUAUUUGCUGAUAUCAUUGCUACCAUUCUACGUCACCAGAGAACUUUCAUUGUCAAAACACAGCUGGUAUGGCUUCAUAAUUGAAUUCCCAUAAAAUGCCAAACUUUAUAUGGUCAACAACACUGCCGUGAUGGACGGGCCUAAAGGCUGCAAGUUAUCGUGCAUGAGGGGGUUAGGCUAAGGAAUUAUGAUUUGAAGACUCACACAGCAGUGGAAUAUUCCACAAUAUUAUUACUUAUUAUUCUUCAUUUCUGGAUUACAAAUUUCACAGCUACUCAAUGGCGAAGCCAGGAAUUCUCGGAGGAAGGGGCGAACUUAAAAGAGUGCAAGAUUAAAGAAAAAUGACAAUAAACAAAUCUUUUUAUAUAGUAAUGUCUUCUAUAAUUAAUCAAUACAAAGGAAGAGGACUACCCAAAAUACCCAAAGGAUGACUACUCGGAGGAGGACUGCUCGAAAUAUUUGAAGGUGGAGGAGGACUACCCGGAAUAUUUGAAGGAAGAGGAGGACUAUCCAGAAUAUUUGGAGAAGGAUUUAAACACUGUUUUUUAUAGCAUCGUUCCAUUACGUAAUUGUAUAAUGAAAGAAAAAAAAUAUAUCUUAGACUCUUAAUCCUAGAGUAGACUAUAAAGUAAUAUAUAAUCAAACCAAGAAUUUAAUUAAUCAAUUCCAACAAUCAUAUGAAUAAUCAAGAAUUCAAUUUUUAUUCUAAACAACAACUGGUCAUUAGGGUCUUUUAAGUAAUUGAGUAAGUUGAUUAGGGUUUAUAGUGGUUACGGUAAUCAAUUUUUUGUCAUUUGCAAAGCUGCAUUUUAUUUAGGGUUUUAGUUGGUUGAGUUGGGGUUUAUUAUGUUAAUAUAAAUAUGAUGUAAAUGUCUUCACCAUGUUCAGCUGUUUUUUUUCUUGCUAGACCAUGUGUGUAUUCAAGUUCCUAUAUAUAUAUAUAUAUAUAUAUAUAUAUAUAUAUCCUCUUUUAUGUACUUCAAAAAAAAAAAAUCAAUAAUCAUCAUAGUAUUCAUAUAAAUAAUUUAUAAUCAAUAACCAUAUAAUGUAUUACCCUAUAAUCUUAUAUCAAUUAAACAAAAAUUCAGAUUCACUAAUCUAUUAGGGUUUGAAAUAAAUAUAAAUUUAAACAGUAAUAUAAGUAAAAUCAAGUGUUCAAUAACCUAUGCUACCACACUAGUCAAAGUCGCCUAAUGGGACUUGUACGAUUGAACCUAUUGCUCAUCAAUCUAUGCUAGCACAUGAGUCGAAGUCGCCUAAUGCAACAUGUACGACAGAGUUUGGUGUAAUCAUAAUAUACGCUCUAGUGCUACGAUCACGUGAAGACUGGCGCUAUGCGCGGUCACCUACGAGUCGGAGUCGCCUAAUGCGACCUGUAAGACAUGACUGACACCUACUUGGAUCCAAGGUGAGUGUGCAAUGCGGGAGGUGAACAUACAUGUGAAGCACUUGCUCUGGCCCGAGGCGAGCACUAACACCGAGGGGCAGCAAUGAUGAGCAGACUACAUGAAUAUAAGCAUGCCAUAAUGAUGCAAUAAUUCUAAUCAACAUAAUAACAUUCAUAGCCGUAGAUAUAAUUAUGGCAUCAAAGAUUAUAAGCAUACCUAUGCAUCUCGUAGGAUGUAACACGUUUCAUAAAUUCCGUCAUUUCGCUAAUUUUUAUAAACUUUAGUCUAAUCCAGGCAUAGGUAAGAAAUUCUUUUUCAAAUGCAUAAUUGGAAACUAUCAAUCAUAUAUAUACUAUAAAAAGGAAAAGACCCACUCACCUGAAGUCUGCGUUACAACUCCCUAGCACGAAUAUCGAGAUGUCUCGAACAAUCGGCGCCUAGAACAAUGAUCAAAUCAUGUCUCAGAAUUAUUAUCUAUAGAACACGUAACUUACAUAAAAUGCAUCCAAACAGAAUUCUAGAAUGAUUGCUAACCCAUUGACCAAAAGUGAACCAUCGGUCAAAGGUAGAAGGUAGGGUCCACAACCCUAGGUAACUCGAUCAGGAAGAUCCGCACCCUGAAUUUCCAAUCCGUAACUUCCCAAGAGUUUCAAUAAGCUUCCAAAACAACAUCCUAAAGUUUCGGAACGAUCUAAUGGUUGGAUCUUCGCCAAUCGCUAAAAUAAAGUGGCAGUUGACGUUUUAUUUUACGAACUUACAAAUCCAAUUCGGGAAGAUCCAUACGUAGGAUUCCCGAUCCGUAAGUUUCUAAUAUCUUCAAAUAUUAUGUACUAUAACGUAUUAAAGUUUGGUGAUGAUCCAACGGUCAAAUCGUCGAAUCAUAAAUGGUCAAGUGACGUAGUAUUCCAUACUAGGUUCAAACUAUCAAACUAUAACAAACGGUUAUCAAAUUGACAUAAAAUUUGACUCAAAAAGGCAGCGUCAGCCCACUAGCCAUGCUCUGCCGUACAUGGCGGUCGGCCACCCCGACUCGCCGGAAAAUUCAACUAAUUCUAAAAAUUCUAAAAUUUUACUAGAAUGAAAAUCUCAAUGAGUAGAUCAAGUUUUAUACCUGUGGCCAAGUCCAAUUUGGCCGGAAAAAGCUUCAAAUCUCCACGAACCCGCCGGAAACCCUAGAAAAUGGUGGUUGUCGAUUCGGCUUCUUCGGUGCUCCGCUGCUCCAACCAAGCCUUGAGACUGUUCCUAGGUUCAAGAGAAUUCAACCCAUGGUGGUGGUCGACGGAGUUUGUUUCAGAAAUGGUUGAUCGCUGCCGUGAGACCCUCGGCGCCACUCACUCGGUUCCUCAUGAAACUAGGGCUAUAAGCUGUCGAGUUUGGGUGGGAAUUGAAGAGGGAAGAUCGAUGAGUUAGGUGAUGGUGUUGGAUGGCUUCAACAUGCCGGAAAUCCGACAAAAAAAGCAACGGAAAAGUCAAUAGAAACUUGGUCAAAACCCGGGUCAGGUGAGGGUCCGAGUUGGGUGGUCUCAUCUCUUCUCUCCCUUCCAUCCUUUCCUUAUUUCUGAUUGGUCACUCAUUUUUCUUCCUUUUUCCCGAUUGGAAUAGUUUUCUCGCUAUAUGAGCGUGAAAGUUCAACGAUCAAAAGAUGCCUUCUCGAGCUAAAAGCUUGUCUAUUCUUUUCAUUUGUGCAUCUGGGCUUGUAGUUGCGUUGCAAGCGAUUCUCUCUGUCAGGCAUACCUGAUAGUGUCCCCCAUUUUGUUUCGCUUUUGAGCGAAGUCCUUAUUUCUUUUAUGCAAUUUUAUUUCUUCUAUAACAACAUGAUGUUUUCCCCCUUCUAUGGUUGCUCUCCCUCUCUCCCGCCAUUCUCUUCCAAUUGGGCAGCAGGCAUCUUUUUCCUCUCAUUCUCUUUCCGGUUGGCCAAUACUCCCACUCUUUUCUCUCAACUAAUAAUAAAAUAAUAAUAAUAUGAUAACAAAACAAUUUCAAAAUAAUAAUAUAAUAAUUAUGAGAAAUAUAUAAGAUAAUAAAUAGUAAUCUUUACAAGGGUACUUUUUCGAAUUUGUAGUUCUGUAAAAUUUUAACCGUAACUCUAUAUUCGCUUCCGCUUGCCUACGCGUCCGUAUCGUUGAGUACUUCAAGAAUAUGAUAAAUAAUAGCCCAUACGCUUCACGAAAUGAUGGUCAACUGGAGUCAACGAUCUCGCCUCUAAGGGCAUUUUCGUUAAUUCACUCAUUUAAAAUUUAUAAAAACAUAAAAUUAGGGAUGAGUUAUCACAAAAAAUACGUUUGCGCCUUGAAUUGGGUUGGAAAAAUUUCCAAAAUUUUGGGCGAAAAGAGUGACCCAAAACAAAGUCGUAAUUACCAUUACCAUACCAUGCCAACAUAACUAUUUGGCAUGCCAACAUAACUAUUUGGCAUGCCAAAAUUCGGUAUACCAAAAGUUUGGCACAGUAAAGGUAAUAGGUUUUGUCAUACCAAAAGUUUGGUAUGGUAAUUGGUACAUGGGUUUUGGUACAAUAAUCGUACCAAUACCACCCUUAGUGUUAGUUGAAGGUCGUAACAGUUGCAGUGGCAAAUUUUGUAAUUUUUAUUUUUUUUAAAUGCAUUUAAGUAUCAUAAUACAUGAUGAACUUUUUUUAAAUGUAUUUAAGUAUCGUACCAAUAACAUAAAUAUUGUUGAUAUAUUGUCAAUAUUGUAACUUUUUAUUGAUUUUAUACAAAAUCACCCUUUUAUUUAAGAGUAAAUUGUAGCAAUGGUCCAUGAACUUUAAUCAAAUGGGAGCAAUGGUCCCUCAACUAAAAAUCCAUUACUAUUGGUCUCUCAACUUAUCAAAAUGUGUAGCUAUAGUCUUUUUCAUCAAUUUCUUCAAAAUUUUGUCAAAAUAUGUAAUAACCAUUUAUAUAAUUAAGGUCCCUCAACUCAUCAAAGUGUGUAAUUAUGGUCCUUUUCGUCAACUACGUAAAUUUUUUUGUCAAAAUGAGUUAUGUUGGAAGGACCAUUGCUACAAUUAGGUUGAAGUUAAGAGACCAUUUCUCCAGUUGAAUUAAAGUUGAGAGACCAAAGGUAAUGAAUUUUUAGUUGAGGGACCAUAGCUGCACGUUUUGAUGAGUUGAAGGACCAAUGGUAAUGGAUUUGUAGUUGAAGGACCAUUGCUCCAAUUGAGUUAAAGUUAAGGGACCAUAGCUACAAUUUACUCUUUAUUUAAUUGAAACUAAUUUAUAUCCCACUUGAUGAACUUUUUAUGUUCUGAAAAACUUAAACCAUUCAAUUGAAUUAGAAUGCGUGAGAUAUAUGAAUGUUUAGAGGUUAAAACUCUUGAAAUCUUGAACUUUUUUAUUUGUGUUGAAUAGAUUUAGACCGACCAAACUAAACCGAGUCAAGCUAAUUAACUAUGGUUAGGUUUGGUGUAGUUUUAAUGACGGUAUUGGAGGUACAGAACCAAACUGAACCUUUGAGAACUAAUUGAAUCGGCUUUUUUUUUUCUUAUGUCAAACUGAAUCAUACCAAUCCGUACCACCCCUAAUUUAGGAUGUCAACGAACCAGGGUUAAUAAUUUGGAUCCGUGGAAAUGCCCUGAAUCCAAAUAUGGAUGUUGCUCGUAACUGGGCUUUUGCUAGUUCAAAGAAAUAAAUACAAAUAGAAUCGGAGAGGGUCAUUUUCCGGUUGACGAGAAUUUGUCACUUUACGCCGCCUAGCACCAGGCGCCAAUUGCUAUUUAGAUGAGUGUGGUAGUUGAGUAAUGCUAUACUUACCGCUAGUUGUACAAUUAUUUAUAUCAUUUUUUUAAUAGAGAUAGGAAUCCACCAACGUAUAUAUGUCUCAUCUCUCUAAUAGAGAUAAGGCCCGCCAACACAUGUAGGUCUCAUUUCUAUUAACAAAAUAGUAUAAAUGAUGAUAGAACUACGUGAUAAAAGUAGCAUUUUUGUAGUUAUUAUGAUUUCGUUUAAUUAGUUAGUCUGUUAGACAAAACAUUAACUUUUCUAUAUAACAAAGGGGAUAAAACUUGGGUACUGUCUUGUCAGUACCAGACUGACUUAUUAGAUGGCCCAAUAAUUGUCUAAGGGUGAGUUCGGUAUGGUUACCGUACCAAAAUUCUUGUACCAAUUACCGUACCAAACUUUCGGUUUGGUAAAAUCUAUUACCAUUAUCGUACCAAACUUUUGGUAUAAUGAAGUUCGGUAUUGCCAAAAGUUCGGUUGGCAUGGUAUGGCAAUGGUAAUUGCCUUUGCCAUUUUGUUUUAGGACAAAAUCUGUUUUUGUUUUUUUAACCCAAUUCAAGGGCAAAACUUUUUUUUUGUAUCUUUAUCUCAUACAUUAUAGAUUAAAUUCAUCUAUUAUUCAUCAUUCACAAUUCACAUACAUAAUAAUUCAAAUGAUGCAUCAAGAUUCAUCAUGAAAAUUAAGCUUACAAUCCAAAUAGAAGUUAACAAUCCAAAUAGAAAUUAAAGUUUCAAACCAAAUGAAAAUUGGAAGUAAACUUCAAAAAGGAGAAUUCAUUGAUCAUUUAUUCAAGUUUGGGAUGUCGAAGCUUUUGGAGAAGGCAUUGAACUUGUAGAAGAUUGAAUUUGUGUCAAGCCUACAUUACAAACUAAAAAAACAUAUUAAUUAGUAGCAAGAAGAAUUAAAGUUGAAGACCAUUUAAUAACAAAUUUACUAAAAAAAUUAAAGCAUAUCUUUCUUGUUUUCUCUUCUUCCAUUUCUUUGUAAAAUCGAAGCAUAUCAUCUGUUGGUUCCUUGUAGAAGUUUACUUCAUUUGCCCUUAAGCCAACCACUAGUACGCACUAGUGCCUCCAUUAUUUUAAGAGUCAAAGAUACCCUAAAAGGGUCCACAACCCUCCUCCCUAGGCUAAAUGCAUUUUCACCAGCAAUAGUAGAAGUGGGGGUUACAAAGAUAUUAUGGCUAUUUGUGAAAGAAUUAGGAACUCUUUUGUGUUUGAUUUCUUUCCACAAUUUCAAGAGAUCAAAGUCACACACAACAAUGCUAAUAUAAGUAGGGUUUUAUUUUCAAAUUAUUGGAAUAUUAUAAAUAUGUGUUAUAUAAUUAUCUAUUAUAUAAUUUAUAAAUUAUAAAUUGUAUUACAUUUUCGGUAUGGUACGGUAAUACCGUGGUAAUGGUAUCCAUUACCAAUACCGUACCAUGAAAUUUUGGUACGGUAUAAUACCGUACCAUUACCGAUUGGAACAAAAAUUUUGGCAUAAAAUCGGUAUUGUACCGGUUGGCAAUUCGGUUGGUACAGCAAUUUAGCAAAAAAAUCCACCCCUUGUCCACCACCUGUCUUUAAAACUCACAUCCAAAUUCUUGCUAUCCUGAUAACCAAACACCUAUCUUCUUCCUCCCUUCCCUGUGGCAGCCGCUCCGUCAAUCCCAACCUCUCUCCUCCGUCAUCGUUAUUCCUCUGCAAACCCAACCAAACUAUCGCCCUUUCUCUGCAAAUUCGACAAAACCAGUGCACCAACCAAAACCAAUUCUUACAGGUGCCAUGAAUUCGAUUACUCAACGAUUUCAUAAGAUACAAUUAAUCAUCGGUUCUAAAGCUGAUGAACGACGGUGGCUGUUGGUGGUGGGUGAGGACGGUUGUCGAAGGUGCAAAAGACAACAAAGAUGGCGACUCCCAUCUCCAUAUGGGUCUUAUUUUGUUCAUCUUGAAAAGAAAUCAUUUUUUAUUUAAAUUUGCAAUUAUGAUGAAUGGCAGCCAUGGUGGUGAUUGGAAUGGGCGAAGGAAGAUGAAGGAAAAAGAGUGAAAAAGUUGCAGGGAAGAAGAAACGAGGUGUUUGGUUGUGUGUUUCAAGGUGUAUGGUUGUGUGAAUUAUGGGAAAUCAAUUUCAGGUGACCGAAGCUAAGUAGUCUUAAAUUAGUCCAUAUUAUUUUCGUUAAUUGUUUUUAGCGGGUAUUCGCCUAGACCCCCCCCCCCGGCCCUUUCCCCGUGUUAGUUUUAUUUUUUUUUUUUCUUCAUAUUAUUAAUAAAAUCUUGUAGAGGGGGACGGGUGGGGGGUUUCUGGGUGCAACGGUCCUUUCUCUUUUGGAAGAGGAUUGGUGCCUCGUACGCAACUGUUGACGAAGAGCUAAUCUCACCUAAUCCGUCUCUACAAAAAAAUUUUUUUUUUUUAAAAAGUGUAUGGUUGUGUUUAAGAGAAUUCUUAGAACACAGGUGUCCUCAGUUUAGUGGGCCACAUAAGCAAGUCAGCAGUGGAAUUAUUUUGAUUACGUUAACGUCUCACUGACUUCGUAGUUUUCUCUGUAUCCAAACACUCUCAUCAGUUCGGUUUUUUCAUUCUUUUCAUGGUAUCAGGCACGAUUGUGCCCCGCAGUUGUUGAUUACAAUCUUCAUUGUCUCUAUUUCUCUUCAGGUUCUUCAUUUAUCCGUCUCUAAUUUUGAUUGAGACUGAAAAUUGCAGACAACUACCCCCGUGCCCAUCGGGUUCCCAAUAAAUGUCUCUGCAUGUUGAUUUUCCAAGGAGGAAAGAGGUAAUUGCAUAGCAAACAUAACAUUUUUUUCUUAUGUUUGAAGAAAAACUACAUGCAUGCGGUAAGUACAUAAUCUAAAUUGCAGAGCCGUCUCAAUGCAAACUUAAUCCUAAGACGAAAAUAAAAUGAGGUUUUUCUAAUUUAGUAUGUGGUUUUUUUAUAGGCUAGUUAAAUUAUAAAACUUUUCAAUUCAAUCCACCACCAUCUCCACACCAAAGUAAAUUUAACCAUUUAAGGCACAUUAAAUAAGAUUUAGGAAAAUAGUGGAAGACUUCAUAAUCAACAACAGUCGCAGAGCCACAAAGAUGCAAAAAUUUUGUUAAUUACCUAUUUGAAUCUUAUGCACAAUAAAUAGAACCUUAAGGUUAGUUUCCCAUUUGAUUUCGUUUCCUUGUUGACUCUUAAUCUCGAUAGAUUACAAUGUUGAAAGCAACUCCAUAGGAUAAAGAAGAGGGCACCAAAUUUCGCCUCUACAAUAAGAUCUCCUUAUCAUGAAACAAUUAGUAUAAUCUCACUCCAAAAAUGGAUGUUGAUUGUUGUACCAAAAGAAGGUUCAAUUUUGACAGUAAUAAAAGAACAUACACAGCUGAUGAAAACGAGAGACAGCUAACUAGCUCGUGCAUGAGAGCGUGCGAAGAGGCUAGCAAUACUGUGCUUGUAAAAAGAGAUGGAUAUCGCGGUCAUGCCAUACAUAUGAUGUCAUAAUUCACACACCGGAUGGUUUUAUUUUAUUUAUUUUAAAAGAUAAGUUCAUACUACAUUAUUUUCAGUACCACAACAACAACAACAACAACAAAGCCUUUUUCCCACUAAGUGGGGUCGGCUAUAUGAAUCCUAGAACGUCAUUGCGCUCGGUUUUGUGUCAUGUCCUCCGUUAGAUCCAAGUACUCUAAGUCUUUUCUUAGGGUCUUCCAAAGUUUUCCUAGGUCUUCCUCUACCCCUUCGGCCUUGAACCUCUAUCCCAUAGUCACAUCUUCGAACCGGCGCGUCAGUAGGCCUUCUUUACGCAUGUCCAAACCACCGUAACCGAUUUUCUCUCAUCUUUCUUUCAAUUUCGGCUACUCUUACUUUACCUCGGAUAUCCAUAUUCCUAAUCUUAUCUUUUCUCGUGUGCCCACACAUCCAAUGAAGCAUCCUCAUCUCCGCUACACCCAUUUUGUGUACGUGUUGAUGUUUCACCGCCUUCAGUGGCCUAUGAUGGUCACACAACACGUCGGAUGCACUCUCCCACUUCAUCCAUCCAGCUUGUAUUCUAUGGUUGAGAUCUCUAUCGAAUUCUCCGUUCUUUUGCAAGAUUUGCUAAUCCCCCGUUGUUUCUUUUUCAUGUUUUUUUUUUUUUUUAGUUACUGACUUUGUUUCUAUUUGUGUCUUUUAUUUUUACUUAUGAUAUUUGAUUUAGUUUUGUUUCCUUGAUUUCAAGUACUAGAGAAGUAAGACAUGGAUUUUGCUACCAUUCAAGCUCAAUUGGCGAAACUUACUUCUCAAUUGUCACAAUAUGCCGAAGGGACCACAAUGCAAAGUGUCCCUACAGAUGGUGUGUCCUAUGGGCAAGGAUAUCCAACUCAUCAAUGUUCUCAAUUCGCUACGAAUGAAGAUGCUUGGGGUUAUCAAGGCCAUAGCCAAUCAAGGGACAACAUGUUUUCCAACGCUUACAAUUCGGAUUGGAGAGAUUAUUUAGAUUACAUGUGUGGAGAACCGCAACAAUUCCAACAAGAUGGAUAUUGGCAGCAAGAAGAGGAGUUCUAUCACUGGUCAUAUGAACAAUCUGCCCAAUUCCAUUCGGGUACAUCUUUGGAUAAUGAUAUGUUUAAUAAGUUACUCACCUCUUUGAACCAGGAUGUAGAAAUCCGAAACAAAGAGGUGCAAAAUCAAGCCAAGAAGACGGGCGAAUUGGAAAAGCAAUUUGGGCAAAUUAUGGAGUUCACGGCACAAAUUCAAGAGCAAAGUGAACUCUCCAACUCAACUGUUGAAAAUUUGAAGGGAGAUUUUGAAAUCCAUGAUGCUAUCACUUUGGGAAGUGCUAUGGAGGUUGGAGGUGAACCCAAGACGUCCAAACUAAGCCAAAACAUGGGUGAACAGCUGCUGCUCGAAGAAGAGGAGAGUAACAAGGCCACUACAAGGAAAGAAUCAAGUAUCACCUUCCAUUUAAGGAUCAAUUCCGUGCUAUGGGCCCUAUUUAAGUUUAGAAGGAAGUUUCGUCCGGUUGAAGGACGUUAAAGUCAGCGCUUCUUGGAAGGCAACCCAUGUAUUCAAAUAAGGAAGAUUUUUGAAUCGCUUCACAAUCAGUUUUGCGUUUCUAAAAACCUUCCAUUUUCUGCAUUUCUAUUUUGCCUUGAUUGUCAUUUUUUUUUAUUUAUUUAUUUAAUUUUUGUUGUUUAUUUAAUUAUUUUUGGGUGUGGGUUUAUUUUUGAAACAUUGACAGAUCUGCAAGGUAUUCUUACAUUCAUUUUCAUGAAAAAAAAAGGAACAUUAAGCAGAAAAUUACACAAACAAGAAGGAGUUUUCAUUGGUCAGGAGGUGUAACAGCAGUUGAAGGAACAUCAGAAAGACGAAGUGUCAGAGCUUGAUUGUCCGGAGCACUUGGUGAAGCACCAGAUGAUGAAGACAGAAGUUGCCUCGGGAGUAAAGCCAUAAACCUUUGAUGAUCACUCCGGGCCCGAACUUCAGCCUCCUGCAGCUGGUCCAACUUCAUCUUCAUGCUCGUUGAGUAACUAGUUGCGAGCAUGUGCAACUCUUUAUUUUCAUGCCUAAGCGUUUUGACCUCUUGCCGAAGGCUAGCCACUUCAGCCAUCAACGACUCAACUUGACGAGAUCGAGCAAGAAGGCGUUGGCCCAUGUUUGAUACUGAGCCUGCACACUAGACGCUGAAAGCUAAAGAAUCAUGAAUAGCCUGCUCAUCAGACCGCUUAGAUAGCAUCCUACUGUCUCGUGGAAUGAGAAGAUUUCUAGCAACCACUGCAGCUGUUGCAUCAUUUCUCAUCACAGUGUCCCCAACUGUAAGAGGACCGUUGGAGGAUAUGAAGGAUGGUUGCCAAAUGUUACCUGGAGAAGAGAGGUCAAUAUCUUCUUCGAUAUUCAAGUCAAUACGACGGUCGGAGGGGCCAGACAUUUUCAGAGGUGUUAAAGAAAGAAGAGGUCAGACAAGUCAAGAUCGUCGAAGUGCAAGAAGGGAGUUUUCACAGGCAGAAAUUCAUAUGUGCUUUGAACAUCCUGCGUACCUCUAUAAAAAACAGCACGCGAUAGGAUUUUAGAGAUCGAAGAGGCGAGUUCAAAGAUCGAAGAAGCGUCUGCUUUCUCCAAAGCUAGGCCUACUCCGGAAUCACGGGCUGAUAUCAGAAAUCGAAGAAGUGUCAGCUUUGUCAGCACUCGUCAGCACCCGUCGCACGCAAACUCAGCUUUGCGAAAAUCACAGAAAAGUUGUCGAAGCAUCGAUCUCAGAUAGCGAAGAUGCGCCUGUCUUUCUCAGCCUCGUCAGCUUUGCGAAAAUCACGGAAAGUUUGUCGAAGCGCCGAUUCCAAACCAUCUGUCUUUCUCAGCCUCGUCAGCUUUGCGAAAAUCACGGAAAGUUUGUCGAAUAGCCGAUUCCAACCGCCUGUCUCUCUCAGCCUCGUCAGCACUUAUCACAUGCAGAGAAAGCUUUGAGGAAAUCACGGGCAAUCUGUCGACGAUUUCUGUUAAAGUAGAAAACACGUGAAGUUUACUGUUUAAUCAUCCAACGAUUGCCGACAGGAGUGAAAGAACAGUACCGGUUAUUAUUUCCUACAAAUGUCGACCUUCACGCUCCAUGACAAGGCAGACAUACAUAACAUUCCGUCAUCUCCGAGAAAUGGCUUUCCAACAAACCCUCUCGACUCACUCAGUGUUCUUUAUCCCAUGGGAUACCUCUGCAAACACAUCUUCAAAAGCAAAAGUAUUUCAUAUCAUGAAGGUAGAAAGCAAGAGUAUCUCAUAUCAUGCAUUCUCCGUGUCCUUUUCCUUGUCUUUGUUCUAACCUGUAGGACAAGGAGAAGGAAAGCAAUCAGCCAGCACUUGGUAUCAAUCUUCUGAUCUGGAACCGACUGCUUGGAACCCCUUCCUGAUUGCUUACAUGGUAUUGCUCUCGAGUACUCGUCUUCCACAGGCAGAUGUGGUAGACGAAGAGGAAGCAUAAGAUGAUAAAGAUGAGUACUCAAGAGUAAGGCUAGGAGAACAGAUAAGGAAAUACAGUAUGCGCAAUCAAUCCAGCAGAAGAAGUCUGAAAUGAAGAACUCGAGAAGCUUCAAUUCAAGAUCAAAGCUGUGGAAAGUCAAAAAAUCACAUCCAGUUGUGAUUCAUAAGUUGUGAAUUCAAUUUACUUAUUCGUUCGUAUAAAAAUUGAUUUGUGUAUAUGCUGCGAUUCAUAAGUUGUGAAUUCAAUUUACUUAUCCGUUCGUAUAAAAACUAAUUUGUGUAUAUGCUUAUGUUUUUCAUAAAACUUAAUGAUUAUUGCUUGUAUCUUUAUUAUGCAAUUCAUGUAGGGAACUUGUAGGGAAUGUUUUGGGUUGUCGUAUGCAAUCAUCCAACUAUAUGAAUCUUAGAACGCCAUUGUGCUCGGUCCUGUGUCAUGUCCUCUGUUAGAUCCAAGUACUCUAAGUCUUUUCUUAGAGUCUCUUCCAAAGUUUUCCUAGGUCUUCCUCUACCCCUUCGGCCCUGAACCUCUGUCCCGUAGUCGCAUCUUCUAACCGGAGCGUCAGUAGGCCUUCUUUGCACAUGUCCAAACCACUGUAACCGAUUUUCUCGCAUCUUUCCUCCAAUUUCGGCUACUCCUACUUUACCUCGGAUAUCCUCAUUCCUAAUCUUAUCCUUUCUCAUGUGCCCACACAUCCAACGCAACAUCCUCAUUUCCGCUACACCCAUUUUGUGUACGUGUUGAUGCUUCACCGCCCAACAUUCUGUGCCAUACAGCAUCGCCGGCCUUAUCGCGGUCCUAUAAAAUUUUCCCUUGAGCUUCAGUGACAUACGGCGGUCACACAACGCCGGAUGCACUAUUCCACUUCAUCCAUCCAGCUUGUAUUCUAUGGUUGAGAUCUCCAUCUAAUUCUCCGUUCUUUUGCAAGAUAGAUCCUAGGUAGCGAAAACGGUCGCUCUUUGGUAUUUCCUGAUCACCGAUCAUCACCCCUAACUCAUUUUGGCCUCCAUUUGCACUGAACUUGCACUCCAUAUAUUCUGUCUUUGAUCGGCUUAGGCGAAGACCUUUAGAUUCCAACACUUCUCUCCAAAGGUUAAGCUUCGCAUUUACCCCUUCUUGAGUUUCAUCUAUCAACACUAUAUCGUCUGCAAAAAGCAUACACCAAGGAAUAUCAUCUUGAAUAUGUCUUGUUAACUCAUCCAUUACCAACGCAAAAAGGUAAGGACUUAAGGAUGAGCCUUGAUGUAAUCCUACAGUUAUGGGGAAGCUUUCGGUUUGUCCUUCAUGAGUUCUUACGGCAGUCUUUACUCCUUCAUACAUAUCCUUUAGAGCUUGGAUAUAUGCUACUCGUACUUCUUUCUCCUCUAAAAUCCUCCAAAGAAUGUCUCUUGGGACCCUAUCAUACGCUUUUUCCAAAUCUAUAAAAACCAUGUGUAAAUCCUUUUUUCCAUCUCUAUAUCUUUCCAUCAAUCUUCGUAAGAGAUAUAUUGCCUCCAUGGUUGAGCGCCCUGGCAUGAACCCAAAUUGGUUGUCCGAAACCCGUGUCUCUUGCCUCAAUCUAUGUUCAAUGACUCUCUCCCAGAGCUUCAUUGUAUGACUCAUUAGCUUAAUACCCCUAUAGUUCAUGCAAUUUUGUACGUCACCCUUAUUCUUGUAAAUAGGCACCAAAGUGCUCUUUCGCCACUCAUUUGGCAUCUUCUUCGUUUUCAAAAUCCUAUUAAAAAGGUCAGUGAGCCAUGUUAUACCUGUCUCUCCCAAGCCUUUCCACACUUCGAUCGGUAUAUCGUCUGGGCCCACUGCUUUUCUAUGCUUCAUCUUCUUCAAAGAAACAAUCACCUUUUCCUUCCUGAUUCGACGAUAAAAUGAGAAGUUUCUACACUCUUCUGAGUUACUCAACUCCCCUAAAGAAGUACUCUUUUCAUGUCCUUCAUUGAAAAGAUUAUGAAAAUAACCCCUCCAUCUGUCUUUGACUGCGUUCUCUGUAGCAAGAACCUUUCCAUCCUUAUCCUUGAUGCACCGCACUUGGUUUAGGUCUCUUGUCUUCUUUUCCCUUAAUCUAGCUAGUUUAUAGAUAUCCAACUCUCCUUCUUUGGUGUCUAAUCGCUUAUACAUAUCGUCAUAAGCCACUAACUUAGCUUCUCUCACAACUUUCUUCGCCUCUUGCUUUGCUUUUCUAUACCUUUCACCAUUUUCAUCGGUCCUAUCCUUGUAUAGGGCUUUACAACAUUCCGUCUUAGCCUUCACCUUUGUUUGUACCUCCUCAUUCCACCACCAAGAUUCCUUUUGGUGUGGAGCAAAGCCCUUGGACUCUCCUAAUACCUCUUUUGCUACUUUUCGGAUACAACUAGCCAUGGAAUCCUACCUCUGGCUAGCGUCCCCCUCUCUAUCCCACACACACUGGGUGAUUACUUUCUCUUUGAAAAUGGCUUGUUUUUCUCCUUUUAGAUUCCACCAUCUAGUCCUUUGGCACUUCCAAGUCUUGUUCUUUUUUCUCACUCUUUUGAUAUGUACAUCCAUCACCAACAAGCGAUGUUGAUUAGCCAAGCUCUCUCCCGGUAUAACUUUGCAAUCCUUACAAGUUUUACGAUCCCCUUUCCUCAUUAGAAGAAAAUCUAUUUGUGUUUUUGACGACCCACUCUUGUAGGUGAUCACAUGUUCUUCUCUCUUCUUAAAGAAGGUGUUGGCUAAAAAGAGAUCGUAUGCCAUUGCAAAAUCCAAGAUAGCUUCCCCAUCCUCGUUUCUCUCCCCAAAACCAUGGCCACCAUGAAAACCGCCAUAGUUGCCUGUCUCCCUGCCCACGUGUCCAUUUAAAUCUCUUCAUAUAAAUAACUUCUCCAUCUGGGCAAUUCCUUGCACCAUGUCUCCAAGGUCUUCCCAAAAUUUCUCUUUCGAACUCGUAUCCAACCCUACUUGAGGUGCGUACGCACUAAUCACAUUGAUGAGUUCUUGUCCUAUUACAAUCUUGAUUGCCAUGAUUCUAUCUCCUACCCUCUUGACAUCUACAACAUCUUGUGUCAGGGUCUUGUCCACGAUGAUGCCAACACCGUUUCUCGUUCUAUUUGUGCCCGAAUACCAAAGUUUAAACCCUGAGUUUUCUAGAUCCUUUGCCUUAAGACCAACCCACUUAGUUUCUUCUAGGCACAUAAUAUUUAUCCUUCUCCUCACCAUAACUUCCACUACUUCCAUAGAUUUUCCCGUUAAGGUUCCUAUAUUCCACGUUCCUAAACGCAUUCUACUCUCUUGAACUCUACCAUUCUGUCCUAGCUUCUUCACCCUCCCUCGUCUAAUAGGAUUAAAGUACUUCUUUUGUGUGUCCUGUGUAAAGUUGAUAGGAGCAUAUGCUCCCAAACAACUUUGAGUGGAGUCGUUCGAAAAGAAGUUUCUAUGGCCCCCUUGCUCAUUUAACACUGCAUCCGGGUGCCGAUGGAGAUACACCCUUGCUCACUUAACACUGUGCUCGGGCCACACAGCGCGCCACAUGCGGCAAGUACAUAAUCUAAAUUGCAGAGCCGUCUCAAUGCAAACUUAAUCCUAAGACGAAAAUAAAAUGAGGUUUUUCUAAUUUAGUAUGUGGUUUUUUUAUAGGCUAGUUAAAUUAUAAAACUUUUCAAUUCAAUCCACCACCAUCUCCACACCAAAGUAAAUUUAACCAUUUAAGGCACAUUAAAUAAGAUUUAGGAAAAUAGUGGAAGACUUCAGAAUCAACAACAGUCGCAGAGCCACAAAGAUGCAAAAAUUUUGUUAAUUACCUAUUUGAAUCUUAUGCACAAUAAAUAGAACCUUAAGGUUAGUUUCCCAUUUGAUUUCGUUUCCUUGUUGACUCUUAAUCUCGACAGAUUACAAUGUUGAAAGCAACUCCAUAGGAUAAAGAAGAGGGCACCAAAUUUCGCCUCUACAAUAAGAUCUCCUUAUCAUGAAACAAUUAGUAUAAUCUCACUCCAAAAAUGGAUGUUGAUUGUUGUACCAAAAGAAGGUUCAAUUUUGACAGUAAUAAAAGAACAUACACAGCUGAUGAAAACGAGAGACAGCCAACUAGCUCGUGCAUGAGAGCGUGCGAAGAGGCUAGCAAUACUGUGCUUGUAAAAAGAGAUGGAUAUCGCGGUCAUGCCAUACAUAUGAUGUCAUAAUUCACACACCGGAUGGUUUUAUUUUAUUUAUUUUAAAAGAUAAGUUCAUACUACAUUAUUUUCAGUACCAGAUGGAUAAAAUUAGACAGCAAUUGCAAAGAGAAACUUUAAUGAUUAAACCCAAAUAUCUGAAGUGCAGUCACCACCAGGAUAUCUCAUUUCAUGGGCUAGGGAAGGACCAUCCGGUUCAGCUCCAAAGUCGACGAAAAAGUUCGGGUUUAAUGCAAGACCACCCUUCUCAGUGUCAACAUCAAGCUGUAGCAUGUGAGAUCCUUUCUCCAGAAGGUCGGGGUAAAAUUGGCGAUCCCAUGUACUGAAAAGGGAGUUGGUGACAUAAAGCCGCUUCCCAUCCAAACUUAACUGGAUCAUCUGAGGUCCACCUCUCAACUUUUUCCCCUGAAUGGAAGACAUGAACUCAUCAAUCAAUGUUAAACAGUAAAACGAAAUUUCCGGCAUGAAAUAUCUUUGAGAACUACUAUCAAGCAUGGCAACUAUGAAUGUACUUAUGCCUCAUAAAAGCUAGAUGUAUCUAUCUUUUUAUACUACAAUCAUGUGGUGAAUGAGACUUGUACAUGAGAAGAAGAUAGAACAUGUGAUGCAUGGGAAAUGCUGCAAAGAGAUGAUAACAUUUCAUGUCAAGGCUAUGCACUAUAAUUCACACCCGCUAUUCACCCCUUACUCGGUUCAAAACUGAAAACCGAGAGAGUUGGUGCGGAAAGACAUUAACCUAGGAUCUUGAGUACAUCUUAUUUUCUUAGCAAUUACACUCUACAUUGGACAGGAGAGUGACUAUAUCAACAAUAUUCUGAUGCCUUUUUUUUUUUUUUGAGAAGAAUAUUCUGAUGCCUUUUAUUAGACAAUAGCAUGUAAAAUGGUGAGCAAAAUUUUGGUACAGGACUGCUAAGAUACAGCAGGCAAACCAACUCUUAAUCCACAGAAAAAAAAGACUUAAAAGUGAUAGUAAGGAAUACUAAUUGAUACCGAAAGUUAUCAGAAGAAGAUCGCACAGACCUGGAUCUCUGGGACGUCAAACUGCUUUGUUGUACCAUCUUCAGCCUCAGCAACAACUGGGCAUCCCUUUUGGAUUAGCCCCCCAACCCAUAUUUGGCCCGUCAGCUUAGGAUUUUUGGGGUCCUCAAUGUUAUACUGUCUCACAUCUCCAUGAAGCCAGUUCACAAAGUAUAGAAAACGAUCAUCAAGUGAGAUCAGAAAAUCAGUUAUAAGCCCAGGCAUCUCCGGAAGAAUCCAGUUCUGCACCUUCAAUGGUUUCACUGAUAUUGCAACCUGGAAAAAUGUAUUAGGAUUUAUUGGGUACUCCGGACCUAGUACUUUAAUUUUUUCCAAAACAUAAAAGAAAAUAAGGAUUCAAAAGACAGUAAGAAUGAAUCGAAUUACCUCAUGGCUCCACGAACCAUCAUCUGUCUUGAAGAAUCGCACCAUGUUACUUGUCAAGGCACACCCAACAAAUCCAGUGUCCUUAGAAGGAUCAUGCAGGAACCUUAUCUGCAAACAGUGAGAUUCAGUUAUAAAACAGAUCCAGAGUCGCCUGAUGUCUUUAUAUAGGAAAAUAAACUGUGAAAACGAGUACUGCUGAAUGUUGAUUAAGUUUAUACAACUCGCCUCCAAGGGUAAGAGUCCUGUAUUUCCAAGAUCCAAUGUUUGUUUCAAUUCACCUUCUGGCCAGCUGUAUACAUGAAGAUGCCUCCCAUACAGUCCAUCCGAGACAUGCUGAGGGUUGAAACCUUUAGUGAAAGCAGCAGGGGCACCCCAUGAUGUGCUUAUCAUUGUCUUGUGUCGCGGCUGGUACCAGAAAUCAUAGCCAAAAAGUGGACUGUGCCCUGGUUUCUCCCACCUGUCAGAUGUUAGGAUAUCUAUAUGUAAUCAAAACUGUGGAAGUGGCAGAUGUCUUCAACCUACCAAGGCUACCAUGCAACCAAGCCCAGAGAAGUGGGGUUCGAUCUCUUUCAAAUGUUUAAUAAGGAUGCACAUAAAUGUUAGGUAUGAUCAAUCUCAUGUUCCAUGUUUAUAUUGUCAACAUAUAAACUCAAAUUUUACGAUAUUGAUGUGUGUGGGAAUCAGUCAAUUCCACAUGGUGUUAUAUGACAGUUUCUUCAAAAUCUACAAUAAAUGAAUUGAGGUUUCCAGCGGAAGGUCAUACCUGCCCUUCACAUUAAACUCAGAGUCAAGGAGAAGAAAUCCAUUUCCUACAGCAUUGCCAUCUUUAUCUCCUAGGCAAGAAACCAGUAGAUCGCCCGAAGCAAGGCAAUGGGAUGUGUGUGGAUAUGCCAAUCCAGUCUUCUGAACAAUAUCUGCAGGGUCAACAACUUUAUGCAAAGAGGGAGCCUUCGGGUUUGUUUUUGUGUCUAUCACAUAUAUACGACCAGAUCUGAAAGAUAAAAUAGGAUUAAUAAGAAGUGCAAUACUUUGGCCUACACAUAUAUACAAGCUUGAAAGACCUCACUCAGAAUCUUACAGAAAAGAGCCGGUAAUGCUUAAGUGAUAUUUAAAGCAUGCAGAACUUGUCAAAUAAUAGGGAGUAGCAAGUAUAUAUAAACAUUAAUUGAUGUCACUUAUAUUACUAUAUGUUCCAUCAAUUCACAACAUUGGUCUCUGUGUAAGAAGAUGCUGAUUUUUUAAACUUUCGGAUAGUUGAUUUUGACACUCCGGUCAGGCCAAACAUGAUGAUCGAAAUGCUUAUGUUUGUUUCGAGGGAAAUUUCAAAACUUCAACCAAGGAUGUCAUUCCUAGACAAACAAUCUUAAAAAUGCUCCAAAUACUUAAUCAGCUAAUGAAAUUCGUAUCUCCUGUACUAUGAGAAAUGGUAAAGAAAUCACAGGUAGCAGAAGACAAAAUGUUCAGUAGAACAGCUUCAACUGCUCGAUUACAUGUAAAGCCUCAGUUUUAGAUGAAAUUAAGCAUAGUGAAUCGCAACAUCAUGAAAAAUAAGUGAUACUCCAAACUAUUUGCGAUCUUUCCUUUCACCAAGGUUGCACCACAUCAACAUACAUCAAUUGUGCUUUUAAUAAACAUUUUCAGAUCGAGGAGGUUCCAGCUUGAAAAUUUUGAUCUGUGCGGAUUCUUCUCAAAUUUCUUUUCGUUUAUCCUUAACCAUUUCAGACUGGCUGCCUAACAAGAAAUUUCACUUGCUUAACUUCAUAAGAACUACUUUUUCAAUUAAGACCAAACAGUAUAACAGUCCAUGCAACAUGAAAUUUAGUAUCUUACAUUAAUGCAGGUAGUACAAGGAAACGCCGUUCUGCAGAUGGAUCUCCAUGGCAAGAGCUGCACGAGUUCCAGCCAGUGUGAUGCAGUUCAUCACCUAAAUGCGGCACGGGCAGCCUGUGGAUUACUUUGGAAUAAGUAGGCGAACUUGGAUCGACAUCAACCGUGGCAAGGUAAUCCGGCUUCUCUAUUCCCGUUCCUAAUUUGCAAUAGCAUUUCGAAGAAUUAACAUCAAUUUUACAUCUUCAUUGCCAAAUGCAAGCAGAAAAACAGUCCAUGUAUAUAAUUCUUUAUAAGCAAUAAUUUAAAGAAACAAUAAAAUUUGUAGAAUUAUCAGAGAAACGGGCCAAAAACCCACUUCCAACAAACACCGAUACUAUCCCAACUUAAUAAUUACCACUUGCCCAAUCCAUUAGGGGUAAGAUUUUAUCAUAAAAGCCACAGUGUUAAUUAGAGUGAAGUUAGAAUAUUUAAACUAUUAAAUUUGCUUUUACUAUAAUCAAACACGCCCUCUCCCAUGAAAUCCAAUUAAUGAGUUCCAUACAUUGACAAUCACGUGGAACAAGGCACGCCGAGCCAAGGGACCAAAGGACCCACCAUCAUCGCCACGUGGAGCCAAGGCAUGUGGGGCCAAGGGAUCCAAGGACCCACAAUCAUUGCCUUUAUAGAAUUAUUAAAGAGACGGAUCAAAGACUCACCUCUAACAACAUCGAUAUUAUCGUCAACUUGAUAAUUACCAUUUGUCUAAUUCAUUAGGUGAAAGGUUUUAUCACAAAAAACAUCAAUAUUAGUUAAAAUGAAAUUAGAAUAUUUAAACUUAUUACUUUUCUUUUACUAUGUCGAUGUGGGAUUCAACAAAAUUAAGGAGAUAAAGUUCAUAAAUCCCUUCAAAGUUCAAAUCUUUUACUUGUAACCUAACCAAUUUAAGAUUUUACUAUAAAUUCAGAAAAAAAAAAAACAGAGAACAAAUUAAAAAUUAAAAACCCAAAUCACAGAAGAUAAUUUGUUUGUUAAUUUUAUUUUAUGCAAGAUGUAUGUACAACGAGGGUGGGGGAGUAAGUUUCUACCCAUGAUUCAACGGAGAAGAAAUGAAGGCUUGAAUAUUUGUGAUGAGGGAAAAAGUGCAAUCGGGUACCUGAGUAAACGGCAGUUACAUAGAUGAGAGCCUCUCUCGGACCAGCCAUGGCGUCGAGCGGGGUGGCGUACCCGGGCCCACUUUUGCAGCACGCUCCUCCAUUGCCCAGGCUCUUCCCUACCGUUCCGUGUUGCAGCACCGCCACGUCCGUUGCCAUCUCUCUCUCUCUCUCUCUAAAACGCGCGCUUUCUCUGUCUCUCUCUCUGGCUCUGAUCAGAUGAAGAAGAUGAACAGAAUAAUCACGGAGUGAACAAAGCCAUUGGGAUGGGCAAAAUACAUAUACAACUCUUCUGAUGACGUGGCAGAGUUCAAUAAGCCGGUUUUAUCUGUAUGUGGUCUACAUUUUUGUCUUGAUGCGCAUGGUAUACAUCUCUUUGAUGACGUGGCAGAGUUCUAUAAACCGGUUUUAUCUGUAUGUGGUCCACAUUUUUGUCUUGAUGCGCAUGGUAUUUCACGGAAAUGGAUUUUCUUCUAAUUCAUUCAUUCUAAUUUACUAAAUUAGAGGAUUCGUAUAGUUGAAAAUUAAUCUAACGAUUUAAGUUAUUAUAACUUUUAAAAUAAGUUUUUAUUUGUAGCUGUUUGAUCAAAUUUCAAUGAUACGAAUCCUUUAAUUUGGUGAAUUAGGAGAAAGAGAUCCGACGAGGAUCCCUUUUCCGUAUUUCACUGCCCAGUUUCGAUUAGUACGGUAACAACCACACCACGUGUCAUAAGAGAAUUGGAUAGAGAAUAAUAACCACAUGAGUAUUCUACUACUCUGUACCAUGGAUUUAAAUAUCGAUAUUAUCGGCGAAAUAUCGCCGAUAAUAUCGAUUUUUCGGGUAAUGGAUAUUUAAACUGGUUUCCGUGUAGUUUUCGUCCAAAUAUCGUGAUAUUAUCGAUAUUAUCGAUAAUAUCGCGAUAUUUUGGAAAUAUCGAGAAAUUUCGUUGAAUGGUGCAAUCGGAUUCCGAUAUCGGACGCCGGAGAAGAACGCCGGAGAUGGUGUGCCUGUUCCCGAGCCCAUUUCGUCCCAAAAACCUUGCAAAAACACGAAUUUUAACUUAAAUUUCACAUAUAUACUCCAAAUUUCACGCAUGCAUCAACGAUUCAACAUAUGUGAUAUCGGUUUAGGGCUUAGGGUUUCAAUGGAAUCUCACCUGAAAUAUCGAUGACUGGGCCAACUCCUUGCUCAGCGGCGCACCACCAGAGACGACUGAGGGAGAAGAAGAAGGAUGGAGAGACUGAGGGAGAAGGAUGGACGGAGAGACUGAGGGAGAAGGAUCGAGAUCGAGGCUGAAGGAGAAGGAUAGACGGACGGAGAGACUGAGGGAGAGAAGGAUCGAGAUCGAGGCUGAGGGAGAAGGAUGGACGGACGACGGAGAGACUGAGGGAGAGAAGGAGAGACUGCGUGUGUGGUGUGUGCGUGUGUGGUCUGUGCGUGUUUUGCAGAGAAUAAGAGACUGAGGGAGAGAAGCAGAGAAAGGGAGAGCCUGGGAAAGUGGAGAGAAAGAGAGGACUGAGAGAGAAGAUAGAUGUGAAGGAUGGGGAAUCGGGAUGGAGGGGAGGUCACACCACACACGUGGUGCUGAAAUGGGGAAGCAUGCUGCACCUUCAAAGUUUCAAUUUCAACCACCCACCCAACCAUGAUUUUUACUUUUAAUUUUAAAAAGUUAAAUAUAACCAUUCAAAAUAUCUUAAGUUAUAUGACUUAAUGUAUUUUUAAAUUAUAGAUUUGUUGGAUAUUCUUUUUACAUUUUAUCAUUCGAUUUAUUUGUGGGCUAACGAGGGAAACCAAACUAGCACAUAUGAACAAUAAUUAGUAAUUUAUUUAGAGUUUUAAUACUCACAUCCUUAUUAAACUCCUAAUUAAUUUUCAAUUCAAACAUUUCAAAUAUAUAAAAAAUAAGAAUAAGAAUAAGUUUGUACCCAUUAAUUUUUAUAAAAAAAAAUUGAUAUGUACCCGUUAUAAGAAUAAGUCACUCAUGUAUCUUACCAUGCAAUAUAUAAAGUGUAAAAUAUUGUACUAAUUCAUUAUAUAUAAAUGAUUAUGGUGUGUUUAAACUUCUUUCAUUAAUUACUACAUAUAUAAAUGAUUAAUUACUACAUAUUUUCUACACUCACAAUGUUUGUCAGCUCGCUAUAUAAUCAACUUGAUAAUGUUAAAUCCAUCAUGCAAUGCAUUUCCUUCCAAUUUUUGUGAUAAACUAAUAGAUAAUUGACUAAAUAAACAUCCUGCAAAGUUUCAAUAAAAAUUUCCAAGUUUUUCUUACAAUUUCCGUGGUUUCCAUGUAAUUUUUAUCGAUAUCGAUAUUUUAUCGAUAUUUCCGUCGAUAUUUCCGUGUUUUCGGACUACCGAUAUUUCCGAUAUUACCUGUUUGUACCAUACUUGACCAAUCCCGAAACUACCGAGCACCGGCCAACGCUAUACUGUCAAGGACCCAGAAGAGUUCCCCUCCGACCAGGAGGCCAAUCACUACUCGACACGUGUCAAGAUUAGAAGCCAAUCAGAGCGCAGCACGUGUCGACAUCAAGAACCAAUCAUAACAUGACACAUGUCAAUGUGACAAAGCUACAAGUUUUUCUAUAAAUAGGGGUCAUUCCCCCACAAUAUUGCCUAAUGCCAUUUGUGUUAAAUCAUUCAUAAGAACUCACUAAAUUGAGAGCUUGAUCCUUUGUACUUGUGUAAGCCCUUCACUACUAAUAAGAACUCCUCUACUCCGUGGACGUAGCCAAUCUGGGUGAACCACGUACAUCCUGUGUUUGCUUCUCUGUCUCUAUUCAUUUACGUACUUAUCCUCACUAGUGACCGAAGCAACCAAGCGAAGGUCAUAAAACUUGACACUUUCUGUUGUACCAAAGUCUUCGCUGAUUUUGUGCAUCAACAUUUGGCGCCGUCUGUGGGAAACGACACUUAUUCCUACUCUCUUCAGCUGUGUCAAGCUGGUUUCUAUCAUUCGUACACUUUCUUUUGAUCAGGCAUCCCUCUCCAGCAUGGGAAGCGAAGGAAGCCACAGCACACAGAAUGACACCCCCCCCUUGCACAUAGUGCGAAACAACGAAAGAAGGAAGGAAAACGAGUUCUUCUUCAAGCUAAAGUCAAUGAGUUGGAAGCUCAGAACAACAAGAUAGCAAUGAGGAAUGAGGUCCUCCAGGAGCAAUAUGAGAAGCUCUUCGAGACACUUCACGAAGCUAGGCAAGCUCAGACACGCGAGCUUGUUGCCCCCGUGGAAGUCAACCAUCAACUGGGUGCCCUCCAACAUGGAGGGUCACAUGCAUUCGACAUAGAUAUCCCUGAUAGGGAACAAAUUACCCCUCGAUUUGAUAAUCAACAUGAGGCUUCUCUUAACCCAGUUGCUUCGACCCGAACCAUGAGAAGCGGAGGGAGACACCUCUUUGCUGAAGGGGCAGAAGGAUCGAAAGCCGUCUUUCGCGAUUGUCGGGAUUUCCUGAAGCAACGUCGAGAGAAUUCCAUCCAUAUAAGCUCAAAGAUCAAUGACCCAAGGAUUUCUGAGAGACUCGGUCCCCUGCCACGGCCCGAGCCGGCCACCAACUUGGGGAAGGUGCAACAAGUCCUAGAGAGACAUGAGGGUACAGGGGACUCAGAGGUGUUCCGACAGACAUACCCUGGAAGCCAGUACAGCGAGUCCAGGGAAAAAUCACAUGCCCUUGAUCAAACCUUCCUAAUUCCAAGAGGAGAUGGAGAUUUACGAAAGAA